rnacentral:lncRNA from 1 species
GCGUGUUCUGUGCAGGUGCAGACCUGAAGGAGCGGGAACAGAUGAGUGAAGCAGAGGUGGGGGUGUUUGUCCAGCGACUCCGGGGCCUGAUGAAUGACAUCGGUGAGGAUCUGGGUGUGGGGUGGAGGAGGGGGUUUGGGGGUCCCUGCCGAUGACAGUCCCGCUACCCCCACCAGCAUCUAAGGAGAGUCUUCUUUCUGUUUGGAGUUCUGUGAUAAGACAGAUGACUCACCCAGGGGGAUGGAGGAGGAUGACCGAGGGCAGUUCUCUCAGAGAGGGAGUUCUGGCUCUUCAGCUUUUGUGUCCCGCCCCACCCUCAGGGUUCAAGCCUGGCCAUUCCAAAGCAGUUAAGUUUCCCCAAGCAUGCUUUCAAGUUUUGACAAUUGCUGUUACCUUUGCCUGAGAUACCCCUUCUUGGUUACUUGAACUUUUACUUGUCCUUCAAGCCCUCCAGUACCUCCUCCUCCAGGAAGCCUUCCCAACCCACCCUCUGAGCUUUUUAUUGGAGCACUGAUGAUCCUGGGUCAAUAAUGCCUGAUACACAUUUGUCUUCCCCAUGAGACUGAGCCCCAUGGGAACAAAGGCUAUGUCUGAUUCAUUCUGUGUUCCCAGUUCCCAGCACCCAGCACAGGGCUUGGCACAAAGAAAGGGAGGCCCCAGGGAGGCCAGCGGAUUAGGCCUGAACAGGGAUCAUCCAGCCCAUCCUCCCAUUCCUCUUCCCUGGCUGAUUCUGUAACUUUCCCUAAAGGGAAAAUUGGCUUCUGAGAUAACCUGGCUGCGGGAAGCAGAGGUUGUCGUGAGCAGAGAUUGUGCCAUUGCACUCCAGCCUGGGCAACAACAGCGAGACUCCAUCUC